rnacentral:lncRNA from 1 species
CUCGCAAAAAGGAUCAAAACCAAAACAUAGUUCUUUUACAUAAAUAACUCCCACUAUCCCAAAAAUAUCAAAUGUUUCCACAAUGUCCUUAUUAACAACAUGUGUCUUAUAGACUUUAGAGCGAGUCCCUUAAUCAAAGGGUCUGCAAUCAUUGCCUCUGUGUUGAUAUGCUCUAUUUUUGUCUGCCCUUCUUGAUUAUAUCUCUAACCACAAAAUAUUUGAUGUCAAUAUGCUUUGACUCACCAAAACUUUUAUUAUUCUUUGAAAAGAAUACUGCUGCACUAUUAUCACAGUAGAUGGUGAUCGGUCUUGAGAUGAAAUCAACAACUUUCAAGACAGAGAUGACAUUUCUUAACCAAACGGCUUGGACUGUAGCCUCAUAACAUGCCAAAAAUUCAGCUUGCAUAACAGAAGAUGCCACUAGAGUCUAUUUAGCACUUUUUCCAAAAAAAUAGCACCACCAACUAAUGUAAAAAUAUAACUUGAGGUUGAUUUCAAAUCAUCUUGACAUCCAACAAAAUCAGAAUCUGAAUAUCCUACCAUCUCAAGAUGAUUUGAACGAUGGAAUAUAAGCAUAUAACUUUCAGUUUUUUUUUUCAAAUAUCUCGUAACUUUCUUAGCUACUUUCCAAUGCUCUUGUCCUGGAUUAGACUGAAAUCUGCUAAGGACACUGACUGCAUAGGCUCUAUCCGGCCUAGUGCAAACUUGAGCAUACAUUAAGCUCCCCACAGCACUAGCAUAUGGAAUCAUCUUCAUAGACUCCCUUUUUAGCUCAUUCCUUGGACAUUGAGUUUUGUUAAACUUAUCUCCUUUUAUGAUGGGUACAUCACUAGGUGCACAGUUUUACAUAUUAAACAUUUCUAGAACAUGUCGUAUAUAAGUUUUCUGAGAAAGUCCCAAUAAACCACGAUUUCUAUCACGAUAUUUUUCAAUACCAAGUACAUAGGAAGUUUUUCCAAGAUCUUUCAUCUCAAAAUUAGCAGACAACAUUUUUUUUGUCUCAUGAAGUAACCCUAAGGUAAUGCUAACAAGUAGAAUGUUAUCAACAUACAGUAUAAGAAAAAUAAAAUUUCUC